GAUGACUUCCGCUACUCUACCCAUGCUCUGCAUCAGAGCGGAAAAAAAAAGAAUGUAAACAAAAGCCCGCUCAAACUUAGUUGUGCAAAACGUGGGCAAGGGUCUUUUCAGUUCUGUCAAGAUGCCCGCCACUACCACCGCAGUUCUCCCUCGCCACCGUCACCGAGAGAGUGCCAGGUCGGUCGUCCAGAGACUCCAUGCGAUUCCGGUACAGCUGUUGCCCCCGCACGUGUUCAAGCUACAGCACGCCGCCAGCAGUUGCGAUUCUGGCACGGGCAAAGAUGCACCUUCCGUUUCGCCGGCAGCAGAGUUCGAUGCUACCGCGGCUGCCGACGAGGGCACCACAGGCGACGCGUGCGCUGAGCUGGGCAUGAAUUCCGUCUGCUUGGUUACCACUGCCGCUGCCGCCGCGCCGUCAUCGACGCGUGCAUCCGCGACUGGCGAGGGAGCGCUCAUCUCUUCUUUUGCUUCACCAGCGGCUGAGCAGCGCUUGGCCUACGAGGUGGCCGCCGCACACGCGCUGCGCGGCGGUCGUGUACUGUUCCUCAACGCCCCGACGAGUCAAGCCUUCUCGCUGGCAAGGUUUGCGGUGACCAUUGAAAGGCAGUGGAUGGCGUUGCAGCCACGGCGGCAAGAGGCACUAAGCGUGCGACAAGGCGACGCCGCAACGCUGCACGAUGCCCAAAACUUCACACAGAUGGGCUGUGCAGGGCGCACUGCCUCGUCACCAGCUUCUGCUCGCACGGCGUCGUCGGAACCGUGCUUGCAGUCGCUCAACUCCGAAGCUCAACUUCGAGCCCGUCAGCGAGCGGUGCUGGACGCUGUGCGGCGAGUAGAGGUGCUGCCUUGCACUUCCAUGGAGGACUUCUACGCCGUGUGCCAGGCCUACACGUUCCCCACCGUUACCGUAGCCGAUGGUGCUCCAGAGGCUUCGGGUCCAGAAGGCACGCCAAACUCGCCCUCCUCACGUGUGUGUGGUGUGACAUGUUCGCGCGGCAGCGGGCAGCCUAGUGCGUCGAGGGAGCCGAAGAUGAGGACCGAGUUGGUGUUUCCGUCCUCGCUGUCUUUCACGGAUUCCGGUGCGGUGACGGCCACCGCUGCUGCCGCUGCCCCCGCCUCAUCGUUGGCAGCCUUAUCCGCUGCCGCGUCGUCCCCCACGGCUGCUCGCACCUCCACGCUGCAUGAGGUGGACAUCGUACCGCUGUGUAUCGUGGACGGGUUUAUGGGGCGAAUGUCGACGUCAGCGCUGCUCGAGCGCGCGUCCGGUCAGGCCAUCCCGCUUCUGCAUUACGUGCUGUGCCUUUUGCAGCGUCGUCUCAAGUGUGCGGUGAUGUUGGUGGAGGCGGGAGGGAGCGUGGCGAGGGGUGGUGGCGCUUGCUGGCCUUCCUCCUCGUCACCGUCAGAAAGCCCGGCUUCUGUGAGCUCUCUCUCGGGCGGGCAUCCGCAGAGCCGAAGCGACGCUUGCGGUGACCUACCAUCUCCUGCGAUGGUGCUUGCCGCCUCAGACCUGGUACAGCGGCUGCGUUCCCCCCACAUGCAUCCGUCGCCAAUCGUGCCCGUCUCUCACGCCGCAUGGUCCCUGGCGCAGGUUCCGGCGGUGAGCUUCAGCGAGGUCGGCGUUGAGGUCGAGCGCCAGCCAGGAAAGAAAGCGGCGCGAGCCGAUGGCGCAGCUGCGCACACGGCGCGCACGUGGUUCUCGCAGGCACCGCCCGUCUCCCUCCAUGACGUGCAGUUAUCUGUAGCGUACGUCGAAUGCGAUUCCGUGUGGCGCCCGCUGCGGCACGGCGACCGCCACAUGGAGGCUUGCGAUGCAAGGAGCGGCGCCACUUCACGGCACGAUGAGCUCCUCCUCCCUUUCAGCGUGGCAUGGCGGUACCGUGUGCAUCUCAUGAAGACGACUGUUGGCGAAGCUGCUGGCACGCGGGCCGUCGGUACUGAUAACCUCCUGCAGAAUCGCCGGAGCAGUCCGAGUGGGCCUCUCUGGCCCCCUUCUCGUGGCUCGCGUCGGCCAUCGGGAGUGCUGACGUGCUCAUCUGGCACACCCAGCAGCAUGCAGUACACUGGUUCAUGGAUGCGGAGCUCCCAGUGGCGGUACCUGUAGAUCCUAGUAGUGGCCGCUGAGGGCUGUGACAACGGCGUUUGCGUAGUUUGUGUACGCGGAAGGGGGGUCUGUGCGUGCGUUGGUAUCUGCGUAUGUGUCUGGCUAGCCAUGACCGUCCCUGCUACUGCU
rnacentral:misc_RNA from 1 species